UUCCUUGGAAAAGGACAGCUGAGAGGGUGAAACUCCCGUCCGCCUGGUAGAAUGAGUCUUUGUCAACGAGUCGAGUUGUUUGGGAUUGCAGCUCUAAUUUGGUGGUAAAUUCCAUCUAAAGCUAAAUAUUGGUGGGAGACCGAUAGCGUACAAGUACCGUGAGGGAAGGAUGCAAAGAACUUUGAAAAGAGAGUUAAAGAGUACCUGAAAUUGCUGAAACGGAAGCGAAGGAAACCAGUGUUUGUUGGUUCAUAUUUCCUUGGCCACUUGUGGUUUGGGCG
rnacentral:rRNA from 1 species